GACUAACGCUGGCGGCGUGUCUUAGACAUGCAAGUCGAACGGGUUGCUAUUUUGUAGCAAUACAGAAUAGCGCUAGUGGCGAACGGGUGAGUAAUGUAAAAGUAACCUACCUCAGAGUGGAGCAUAACCCCGAGAAAUCGGGGCUAAUUCUCCAUAUUAUCCUUGCACAUAAGUGUUUGGAUGAAAGACUUCGGUCGCUGUGAGAGGGGCUUUUAUCCUAUCAGCUUGUUGGUGAAAUCAAGGAUCACCAAGGCUAUGACGGGUAGGGGGUGUGAGAGCAUGACCCCCCACAUGGGAACUGAGACACGGUCCCAACUCCUACGGGAGGCAGCAGUCUAGAAAUUUGGGCAAUGGGCGAAAGCCUGACCCAGCGACGCCGCGUGAGGGAUGACGUCCUUCGGGAUGUAAACCUUUGUUGAGGGGGACGAUGAUGACGGUACCCCUCGAGGAAGCCUCGGCUAACUCCGUG
rnacentral:rRNA from 1 species